rnacentral:lncRNA from 1 species
GGAGCUGGGGCGCUCCGAGCGCGGGAGGGGUCCUGUCCCCGCCUCUCUGCUCGCCCAGUGACGUAGCCGCGGGGGUCCCGAGCGCCUCCGGGAGCGCCUACAUCCCCUCGGUGGGGUCUCCCGCGGGGGCAGUCCUCAGCCGGGAGAACGCCCAGCGGCCGUUCCAACCCACAGGGACCCCCCCCUUGACCCGAGCGCAGGUGCGGCAGGUGCGGCAGGUGCGGCAGGUGCGGCAGGUGCGGCAGGUGCGGCAGGUGCGGCAGGUGCGGGGUCGGCACUGGGCCAGCCCCCUCCGCCGCGCGUCGGCCGGGUGGCCGCACCGUUGACCCCGGGAGCCCCCUUGCAGCAAGCCAGCACUGGAGGUCCGCAGGCCCGCGACGCUCCGCCAGCCUGAUGGGCUGAUGGAUAGGGAGGCUGUUGUUCCAACCACCCUCACGAUCCAGACUUCGGGGACAGGGAGCAAACCCAAACCGUGACCACUGGGAGGAUCACACCGCGGCCGGAAACCGAGGGGCAAGAAACAGACCUCCAUUAAUUAACCAGUUGGCCUUUGUGUUUCAAACCAAGCAGGUAUUUUGUUUAUGCUAAGCCCUGUGCCCUGUACGGGCACCCCCAGUCACACACAUUUCCAUACAGGUCAGACUAGAUAAAAGUCAACAUCUACCAUGAGGCGUGAUCUCGGAAGGGAACCCGGCCCGGGUCUCGCAGAGGGCGGGGAGGGCAGUACUAUUUAUGGAGCCUCUCCUCUGUGGGCACUUGGACAAGGUAGGCAGGACCCAGGCUCUCAGGAGCUCACACUGGUGAAGGGGCACACGGCAAAUGAUGAAAAGACCAUUUUCUAUCGCAAUGAGUAACUGAAGGAAACAGGUAAUGGGAGGGGUUCCUCACUCAGAAGUGUCAGGGAAGGCCUUGGUUAGGGGACUUGGAUCUGAGGCUUGUGUGGGUGGACAGUGAGCCGUGCAGGGGUCUGGGACAGCAACGCAAGGGCUGGACGGGAGCAAUCUUGGAAUGUUCUGGAACAGAAAGAAGACCAGCGUUGUUGGAGCUAUGCGAGGGACAAGCGUGGUACAGGAGAGAGGACGUUAGCGAAAGAAGCAGCAGCAAGUUCACAAAGGGUCUUGGAAGCCAUAGAAAGGGGCUUGGGUUUUAUUCUAAGGUCAAUGGGAAGACACCGCAGUGUUUUCAGCAGGGGAGUUGCGUGAUGCAAUCCCAUUUUUAGAAAUAUCUUGGCUUCUGUGUGGAGGAUGUAGGAUCGGGGCUCUUGACCAGGGGUGAUUGUGCCCCCCAGGGAGACAUCUGGCUCUCUCUGGAGGCAUUUUUGUGGCAAAUUGAGGGGUGGUGGUGACUCCUGGUGCCUAAUGUAGUGGAGCCCAGGGAUGCCCUAAACCUCCUACAAUGUGAAGGUCUCCCUCCCACCCCACCCCCGACAACAAAGGAUCACUCAGCCCCAAAUAUCAGCAGUACCAAGGUUGAAAAUUGUGAAGAUUCUAGCAGCUGUAGAGGACUAGAGCAUAGUCCUCCAGCUGUGAGGGGAAAGCACCCCACUUUGUAGCAGGAUUUGCUGAGGGAGAGAAUUAGAGGUAGUGACCUCUGUCAAAGGUCAAGACAGGGACUCUCAAGAAGGAGAUGUUGGUUUCAAGGAGACCUUACCUCCCUGCUGCCAAUGACUUCUGUGAUAUUUGUCCCUGAGGAAAGACAGGUGGUCCCUAGCUUAGGGUGUUAGUGACCUUGAUUCUGCAGGACCUCGUUGCCAGGGGGAGCACCUGCUACAGCCAGACACAGUGCUAAGUCAUUGCUCAUGCAACUUUUAUUUUUUUAAGAUUUUAUAUUUAUUUAUUCCUGAAAGACACACAGAGAGAGGCAGGGAGAAGCAGGCUCCCUGUGGGGAGCCCGAUGUGGGACUCGAUCCCAGGACCCCAAGGUCACACCCUGAGCCAGACGCAGAUGCUCAACUACUGAGCCACCCAUGCAACUUCACCCAUGCACCCCUCACGCAACUUCAUUUAGUGACCAGGCAGUGCCCUGGGCUGCCAGUGGAAUAGCGUCUCAGGCCAAGGGGUGCUAUAAAACCCCAAAGGCCACUGUUAAGUCUUCUGACUCAGAAAACUUGUGCUAUAAACUAAUCAUUAGGCUUUGGUGAGCUUACUCAUUGUUUUAACAUGACAGACCACGUGCAUUACAUACAGACCUUCUCUUAAUUGUGUUUGUUUUUUUGACGAACGAAAUAGUUGGUUUUCUCUGACAGGGUUUCUACUUAAUGCUUUCAUCACAAAGGUGAUAUGCAUUCAAUGUAACAUGAAAUUAUUGAAAAAUAUGUAAAGGGAAAUUUAUUAAUUUGUCAUCAUUCCUUUCCAUUGCAAUCCCAUGGGGAUAAUUAGUGUCAGCAGCCUGGUGCUGAGGUUAAUUAUUUCAUUAAUUCAUUAAUAUCAGUCUGGUGCUGAUAGUAAUACCCUUCCAGACCUUUCUGCAUUCACUGCUUCUCUCCCCCUUUCUAGUAGGCUCUGGAAGACUGGCUGGAAGGUCACUGUGGAAAAGCCAAAAGCUGGCUUGCUAGACCAUCGAUUCUCUCUCUCUCUUUUUUUUUUUUUUUAAUUUUUAUUUAUUAAUGAUAGUCACACACAGAGAGAGAGAGGGGCAGAGACACAGGCAGAGGGAGAAUCAGGCUCCAUGCACUGGGAGCCUGACGUGGGAUUCGAUCCCGGGUCUCCAGGAUUACGCCCUGGGCCAAAGGCAGGCACCAAACCGCUGCGCCACCCAGGGAUCCACCCCCCCCUUUUUUUUUUUGACCGAUUCUCUUGAAAGGAUAGAGGCUUCUGGCACCUUCCUUCUGUUUUGUUACACAUAUUCCAUAUGAAUGGUUUUGUGUAGGUUUGUCCCUUCCAAGUUCAUUUAUCUGUUUCAAAGCUGAAAUCCACACAGAGCAAGAAAGUAUCCAAAAAAAAAUUAAAAAAAAAAAAAAAA